rnacentral:rRNA from 1 species
UACGUAGGGGGCAAGCGUUGUCCGGAAUUAUUGGGCGUAAAGAGCUCGUAGGCGGACUGUUGCGUCCGCUGUGAAAAGCUGGGGCUUAACCCUGGCCUUGCAGUGGAUACGGGCAGACUAGAGGUAGGUAGGGGAGAAUGGAAUUCCCGGUGUAGCGGUGAAAUGCGCAGAUAUCGGGAGGAACACCGGUGGCGAAGGCGGUUCUCUGGGCCUUACCUGACGCUGAGGAGCGAAAGCGUGGGGAGCGAACAGG